CACUGUGAACAUACCACUGUUGCUUCGGCGGUCCGCCCCGGGUGCGUCCUCGCGUCGUGUCCCGGGCCCAGGCGGCCGCCGGGGGCACCGAAUCUCUGUCUUUAUAGCGGGCUUCUGAGUACUUUACACAAAUAAAUCAAAACUUUCAGCAACGGAUCUCUUGGCUCUGGCAUCGAUGAAGAACGCAGCGAAAUGCGAUAAGUAAUGUGAAUUGCAGAAUUCAGUGAAUCAUCGAAUCUUUGAACGCACAUUGCGCCCGCCAGUAUUCUGGCGGGCAUGCCUGUCCGAGCGUCAUUUCAACCCUCGGGACCCUUCGGGGAACCGGUGUUGGGGACCCGUCCGCCGACCCACGGCGGCCGGCCCCGAAAUACAGUGGCGGCCCUGCGGCGACCUCCUCUGCGUAGUAGCGAUACCUCGCAGCUGGAAAGCGGCAGCGGCCACGCCGUAAAACCCCCCACUUCUAUGGUUGACCUCGGAUCAGGUAGGAAUACCCGCUGAACUUAAGCAUAUCAAUAA
rnacentral:misc_RNA from 1 species